UUGAAUACGAUUAACCGGUUAGAUAAACGAUUAGCUUUAAUAAGAUAAAAAUUAGGACAACAUUCAAAAAGUGGAUAUACCAAAAAAGAGUAGAAAACAACAUUGAUUCCAUCGAGAUAUUUAGAAGAUUAGCCGGUUAAAACGGAGAAUGGAACGAGAUUUAACAAACUCUGAUAACUGUGGAUUCGUCGGUGAGGGGUUCAUCGCCGAGAUUGAACCGAUGAUUACGCUGGUGAUUCUUCAUCAGACAGGGGAACGGAAAGGAGAUGUCGGGGACUGAGACGGCAACGAGAGGUGUGAAACUGAAACCGGAACGAGGGUCUGAAACUGAAACCGGAACGAGAUAGUCGGAAGUUUUAUGAUACCAUAUUUCUGAUUUUGGAGGAAUUUGGAUGAAAGAGGUGAGUUGUGUUGUUUUUUUUUUUUUGACUAAAGGUGAGUUGUGUUGUUUUGCGGAGAAAACAAAGGUAGAGGAGAGAGAUGUAUGUAGUAAAUUCGAACUGUAUCGAUUGUAGUGAUAAUAUUACUCUUGCCUCACGCGUAAUGAUGAAAAGCUCUGGUAGGUAUCGAGCUAAUGUGUGUAGGGAUAGUAUUGUCA
rnacentral:lncRNA from 1 species